rnacentral:rRNA from 1 species
UGUAGGCGGUUCUUUAAGUUUGCUGUGAAAUCUCCCGGCUUAACCGGGAGGGUGCGGUGAAUACUGAGGGACUAGAGUACGGGAGAGGAAAGUGGAAUUCCUGGUGUAGCGGUGAAAUGCGUAGAUAUCAGGAGGAACACCGGUGGUGUAGACGGCUUUCUGGACCGACACUGACGCUGAGACACGAAAGCGUGGGUAGCAAACA